UUCAUCAAAUCGGCGUACGCCGGCGCUGGCCGGCUAACUUCUAGAACCGGCGUACCACUUGUUUCGAUCCGAUUUUGCGCCGAAUAAUCAAGCCGGCGUAAGCCGAAUUCGCCGCUCUCGAUUGACCGGCGAGCGGGAAAGUAAAAUGGCCGACAAUGGCGCAAAUUUCUAGUGAUAUUGGAAGGUGGACCUGAUUUCUUUGCCAUACAAAAGCACCACAACAUAGCAUUGAAAGUGUAACUGCACAAGAGAGUUCCAACCGCACAAGGAUCUUUGUGGAUGGUCAAUAUAGAAUCUACAUUAGAUGUUCAGAGUGCAGGCUAGUAUUUCACGCAGACUGUGCUCAUUGUGAUCUUGAAGAUAUAAUAACAGGGGACAACCCGUGCAUUUGUGAUGUCUGCGCAAACAGAAUAUUGAAGCUGUGAACUCACUAAUUGGCGUUUUAAAAGACACCCUAAAAAAAUAAUAAUUUGUGGUGGCGCAAUCACUUCUUGUUUUAAGUUUAUUCAGCCUAAUGCCAUAGGACUUUAAAUGUUCUCAUGUUAUGUUUAACAUAUUGUUCAACAGUUGAUGUUAUCACAUACCUAAUUGAAGAAAGAUAUUUGACUUGUGAUAUGACAUAUUAGCCAUGUGAAAUGACAUCUUAGACAUGUGUUAUGACAUUUUAGCAAUGUGUUAUGAUAUCUUAGUCAUGUCAUAAUACAUGUCUAAUAUGUAAUAUCACAUAUCUAAGAUGUCAUAUCACAUGACUAAGAUAUCAUAUCAUAUGACUAAUAUUUCAUAACACAUGACUAAGUUGUCAGGUCACAUGUCUAAGUUGUCAUAUCAUAUGACUACGAUGUCAAAUCUUCUGUCUAAGAUGUCAUAACACAUGACUUAGUUGUCAUAUCACAUUUCUAAGUAAACAUAUCAUAUGACUUAAGAUCUCAUAUCACAUGUGUAAGUUGUCAUAACACAUGACUAAGUUGUCAUAUAACAUGUCUAAGUUAUCAUAUGGCUAAGAUGUCAUAUCACAUGUCUAGGAUGUCAUAACACAUGACUUAGUUGUCAUAUCACAUGUCUAAGUUAGCAUAUCAUAUGUCUAAGAUGUCAUAUCACAUGUGUAAGUUGUCAUAACACAUGACUAAGUUGUCAUAUCACAUGUCUAAGUUAUCAUAUGGCUAAGAUGUCAUAUCACAUGUCUUGGAUGUCAUAACACAUGACUUAGUUGUCAUAUCACAUGUCUAAGUUAACAUAUCAUAUGUCUAAGAUGUCAUAUCACAUGUGUAAGUUGUCAUAACACAUGACUAAGUUGUCAUAUCACAUAUCUAAGUUAUCAUAUUUUAAUCCACAAAAACUCUUCUUAACUUACAUUUGCGCCAUUGUCGGCCAUUUUACUUUCCUGCUCGCCGGUCAAUCGAGAGCGGCGAAUUCGGCUUAUCAUAUGACUAAGAUGUCAUAUCACAUGUCACGUCAUAACACAUGACUUAGUUGUCAUAUCACAUGUAAUGGUUAUCAUAUCACAUGACUAAGAUGUCAUUUCACAUGACUAAGAUGUCAUAGCACGUCUAAGUAGUCAUAUCACAUAUAUAAGUUGUCAUAUCAUAUGACUAAGAUGACAUCUUAGUCAUAUGAUAUGAUUACUUAGUCAUGUGUUAUGACAGGGUUUUUUCUUUAUCUUUUAAUAUUUUUAUUAUAACUUAACAUUGUCUUCAAAUGUUUGAUUUUCUUACCUUUGUGAUUGUAUCAGGGAUAUGUGCAGCGGCAGUUGAACAUAUAUUCAUCCACAGUUUUAAUAACCUGCCAUUGUAAUUUAGCAUUAGAGACUGUUCAGUUAGUAGGAAAUGAUUUCAUGGAACCAGAAAUUCUGAUAAGGAGGACUCCAGUUUAAAAGUUGUUUCUGUUACAGUUUAGAGGUUUGGGCUGUAUUAAUGCAAAGUGCCAUACGCAGCUGUAUUUUGUGCCCACAUGUUUCAAUUACUGUUUUUAUACUUCCACAAACGAAGUUUAGGGGGGUAUAUAGGAGUGAGCUUGUCUGUCGGUCGGUCGGUAUUGGUUAUCCGCUCUCUAAUUUAAGUAGUUUUCAUCCGAUCUUCCCCAAGUUUGGUCAGAAGUUUUAUCUAGAUGAUCUUGAGACCAAGAUCGAACAUUGGUCUUGCUGGGUCAAAAACUAGGUCACGGGGUCACUUAGUGUGUUUUAAACAUCGAGCAUGGUGUCCGCUCUCUAAUUGAAGUAGUUUACUUCCGAUCUUCACCAAACUUGGUCAGAAGUUUUAUAUAGAUGAUCUCUACGCAAAGUUCGAACAUGAGCCAUGGGUCACUUAGCGGUAGAAUGUUUUACACAUUAAGCAUGGUGUUCGCUGUCUAAUUCAAGUAGUUUUCAUCCGAUCUUCAACACAAUUGGUCAGAAGUUGUAUCAAGAUGAUGUGUAGGUCAAGUUCGAACAUGGGCCAUGCCAGGUCAAAAACUAGGUCACGGGGUCACUUAGUGUGUUUUAAAUAUUGAGCAUGGUGUCUGCUAUGAUUUUGUGAAGACACAUGCAAAAUAUUCUGUGUCAAUGCCACAUGUGGGGGUAUUCGUCACGUCUGUGACAAAGCUCUAGUUC